ensembl:lncRNA
AGGACAGUGGUCCCACUGAGUAUAAGAAAGGUGUAUGAGCAUUACAAACAGAGUAGCGGGACAACGUAGCGUCUGAGGCCGAAAUGGGUCCCCUAAUCGGACUGAAUGGUGCGGUUGGGUGCCAACGGUCUGGAGGUCUUCCUGUAGCUCCAGAGUAGCGGGACAACGUCGCGUCUGAGUCCGAAAUGGGUCCCGUAAUCGGGCUGAGUGGUGCGGUUGGGUGCCAACGGUCUGGAGGUCUUCCUGUAGCUCCAGAGUAGCGGGACAACGUCGCGUCUGAGUCCGAAAUGGGUCCCGUAAUCGGACUGAGUGGUGCGGUUGGGUGCCAACGGUCUGGAGGUCUUCCUGUAGCUCCAGAGUAGCGGGACAACGUCGCGUCUGAGUCCGAAAUGGGUCCCGUAAUCGGGCUGAGUGGUGCGGUUGGGUGCCAACGGUCUGGAGGUCUUCCUGUAGCUCCAGAGUAGCGGG